rnacentral:misc_RNA from 1 species
AUGAUGGAGGAGGAGAAUAUUGUGCGGCCCCAUCAGGAGAUCCGUCAGCUAACCUUGGAGGAGAAGAAGUUUCUGUUGGCGGUGGAGCGCGGCGAUAUGGCGGGCACACGAAGAAUGCUCCAGAAGGCGCAAGAUACCGACUAUAUCAAUGUAAAUUGUGUUGAUCCUUUGGGACGUACUGCACUUCUCAUGGCUAUCGACAAUGAGAAUUUGGAAAUGGUUGAAUUACUCAUCAGUUAUAAUGUGGACACCAAAGAUGCGCUGUUACACUCUAUAUCCGAGGAGUUUGUAGAGGCUGUAGAAGUGCUUUUGGAUCAUGAGAAUGUCACCUUUCAUACGGAGGGAAAUCAUAGUUGGGAGUCCCAAUCGGAGGACACUUCAACAUUCACACCGGAUAUUACGCCACUUAUUUUGGCUGCACAUCGUGAUAACUAUGAGAUAAUCAAAAUAUUACUAGAUCGUGGAGCUGUACUGCCAAUGCCGCAUGAUGUUAGAUGCGGUUGUGACGAAUGUGUUCAAUCUCGCCAAGAAGACUCCCUACGACACUCACGUUCACGCAUUAAUGCCUAUCGUUCGCUGGCCAGUCCCAGCCUAAUAGCAUUGUCAUCGAAGGAUCCUAUAUUAACUGCCUUUGAAUUGUCAUGGGAAUUGAGACGUUUGAGUUUUCUCGAACACGAAUUCAAGAAUGAAUAUCAGGAAUUGCGCAAACAAUGCCAGGAUUUUGCCACCGCUUUACUCGAUCACACGCGCACAUCACACGAAUUGGAAAUCCUACUGAAUCAUGAUCCCACCGGUCCGAUUUAUGAACAUGGCGAGCGUAUGCAUUUGAAUCGCUUGAAAUUGGCAAUCAAAUUGAGGCAGAAGAAGUUUGUGGCUCAUUCAAAUGUACAGCAGCUCUUGGCGAGCAUUUGGUACGAAGGACUGCCGGGAUUUCGACGCAAAAAUAUGGCCCUACAAGCAUUGGAUAUUAUAAGAAUUGGUAUAAUGUUUCCCAUAUUCUCAUUGGCUUACAUUCUGGCACCGUACUCUAGUAUAGGACAGACUAUGCGUAAACCCUUUAUAAAAUUUAUAUGCCACAGUGCCUCCUAUUUUACAUUUCUGUUUUUACUCAUGCUUGCUUCGCAACGCAUCGAAACCUUUAUUGGUGGUUGGUUUUGGAGCGAUACUCAAAACAUAAUCACACAAGUCGAAGAAGUGCCCACAAAACGUGGCGCCAAACCGACUUUCAUUGAGUGGCUAAUACUGGCGUGGGUUAGUGGUCUCAUUUGGAGCGAGGUGAAACAACUUUGGGAUGUUGGCCUGCAAGAAUAUCUAAAUGACAUGUGGAAUGUCAUCGAUUUCGUAACGAACUCACUCUAUGUGGCCACUGUCGCAUUGCGUGUGGUGUCCUUCUUUCAAGUGCAAAAAGAAAUGAUCAUUAAUCCGAAUGCCACUGAUUUGCCGCGUGAGCGUUGGGACACAUGGGAUCCAAUGCUCAUUUCGGAAGGACUCUUUAGUGCGGCAAACAUUUUCAGUAGCCUCAAAUUGGUAUACAUCUUUUCGGUGAAUCCACAUUUGGGACCACUGCAAGUGUCCCUGUCGCGUAUGGUUAUGGAUAUCAUGAAGUUUUUCUUUUUGUAUGUGCUUGUUCUAUUCGCCUUUGGUAGUGGUCUGAAUCAGUUGUUGUGGUACUAUGCUGAUUUGGAGAAGAAACGGUGUCCGGAAGUUUCACCAUCAAAUGUGCUCAUCAACAUGAAUGGCACAACGGAUCCGAAUGCCUGUAUUGUGUGGCGUCGGUUUUCAAAUCUCUUCGAAACUACUCAAACGCUGUUCUGGGCCGUUUUUGGCUUGAUCGAUUUGGACAGCUUUGAGUUGGAUGGUAUUAAGAUUUUCACACGUUUCUGGGGCAUGCUGAUGUUUGGCACUUAUUCGGUUAUAAAUAUUGUGGUGCUCUUAAAUCUACUCAUCGCUAUGAUGAAUCAUUCUUAUCAGCUGAUUUCGGAACGUGCUGAUGUUGAAUGGAAAUUUGCGCGUUCCAAACUGUGGAUAAGUUACUUCGAGGAAGGUGGCACUUGUCCGCCACCAUUCAAUAUCAUACCGACACCAAAGUCCAUCUGGUAUGUGUUCAAGUGGGCACGCAGAGUCUUUUGCAGCGGCUCAUCGGCAGCAAGACGUGAACAUUUGAAGACAAUACGACGCAAAGCUCAGCAGGCGAGUGAUCGUGACUUUAAAUAUCAGCAAAUAAUGCGUAACUUGGUGCGUCGUUAUGUGACUGUGGAGCAACGCAAAGCCGAAUCACAAGGUGUCACGGAGGACGAUGUUAACGAGAUUAAACAGGAUAUAUCAGCAUUCCGUUGUGAAUUGGUAGAGAUUUUGAAGAACAGUGGCAUGGAUACAAAUGUAACGGCGGGACAAGGCGGUGGUGGUGGCAAGAAGAAUCGUCAAAAGGAACGUCGUCUUAUGAAAGGCUUUAACAUAGCACCGCCCGGUUCGACGGGUUCACUGGCGCCGGUUGCAGAGUUUUCCACUUCUUUGGAUAACUUUGAUUCGCAACAUGAAAUACUCAGCUCCACGCUAUCGAAUCUUUUCAAUUCAAAUUUUAUACAAAAGAAUCAUCAGAAUGGUCAGACCAGUGGUAAAGAGUCACCAACAAAUGGAACGACAACAACAACUACUACUAUACAAACAACAACAAAAUACAAUAAAUCAGCACUGAAGCCACAUAACAAGCGGAUUGCGGGCCAUAAAAAGCGUUGGGGCACGCUCAUCGAGGCCGCUAAGGUGGGCAAUGUUUCGAAAAUGUUAGGACGCUCGAAAUCCGAAGAUUCUGUGUGCAACUCUUCUGCGAACUCAUCACCCGUACAUGGCCAGGUACGCGUCACAUAUGCACAGAAUUCCGCACAGCAUUACAUAGGCAACGGUGGGGAACCGGCCCCGGGUAAUCGUCACCAAAACACAUUAGCGCACCAUCCAUCAUCACAUGCUGGCCCAUUCAUGAAGGAGCACAGCAGCAGCUUGAAUAGUGGUAGCGGCAACAGCGUAAGCAGCUCCGGCGGUGGCAGCGGCGCAUCUCAUUUCUUUCACACAACAACCGGUCUAACCGCCAUUGCCGCUUUGAAAAAGAAACGCAAGAAGUUCUCAUCGAGCAAAAAUAUCUGCCCCGUUAACGAGUCCAUGUCCACUGCCAAUGGUGCUGCGACGGAGGCUGCUUUGAACGACAAGGUUUUGUAUAUUUCUACUAGAUAGUAUUGGAGCAACUCUACUCGUUUAACCGAACUAACGAACCGGACGAAUGCAGCACAUAAAGUCUCGCUCAAACGCGUCUCCAGCUAUCCCGCUUCACAUGCCGAUGGUGUCACGCCAGGUGCCAAAGACGCCAUGAUCAUCGCCAAACCACG